rnacentral:rRNA from 1 species
UACGGGGGGGGCAAGCGUUGUUCGGAAUUACUGGGCGUAAAGGGCUCGUAGGCGGCCAACUAAGUCAGACGUGAAAUCCCCAGGCUCAACCUGGGAACUGCGUCUGAUACUGGAUGGCUUGAAUCCGGGAGAGGGAGGCAGAAUUCCAGGUGUAGCGGUGAGAUGCGUAGAUAUCUGGAGGAAUACCGGUGGCGAAGGCGGCAUCCUGGACCGGCAUUGACGCUGAGGAGCGAAAGCCAGGGGAGCAAACGGG